rnacentral:piRNA from 1 species
UACAUUCGCAUAGUCCAAAACUCAGAAGGUA